GCCUGGGUGGCUAAGUCGGUUGAGCGUCCGACUUCGGCUCAGGUCAUGGGCUCAGGUCACGAUCUCACAGUUCGUGGGUUCGAGCCCCGCGUCAGGCU
rnacentral:tRNA from 1 species